UAAAACGUAGGGGGCGAGCGUUAUCCGGAAUCACUGGGCGUAAAGGGCGUCUAGGCGGCCAUUUAGGUCCCGUGUGAAAUCUCCCGGCUCAACUGGGAGGGUGCACGGGAAACCGGAAGGCUAGAGACUCGGAGGGGGGUGCGGAAUUCCCGGUGGAGCGGUGAAAUGCGUUGAUAUCGGGAGGAACACCCGAGGCGAAGGCGGCACCCUGGUCGAGGUCUGACGCUGAAGCGCGAAAGCGUGGGGAGCGAACGGGAUUAGAUACCCCGGUAGUCCACGCUGUAAACGAUGACAACUAGGUGCUGGACACCCAAGGGUGUUCGGUGCCGCAGCCAACGCGUUAAGUUGUCCGCCUGGGGAGUACGGCCGCAAGGCUA
rnacentral:rRNA from 1 species